CACUGACACACACAACAAUCUUCAUCAACAUGACCUUCAUCAUCAUCUUCAUCUGGACUCUCACAGCGUUUGCUCAAGAGAGUAGAGGACAGAUCAGCGUCACUCAGAGUCCCUCAACGACAGCAGCUCAACCAGAAGAAACAGUCAAAAUCAGCUGUAGAACCAACAAAGAUGCACUCCUUUGGGGAGGGAGUUAUUAUUUCAGCUGGUACUUACAGAGAUCUGGAGAAGCACCUAAACUCCUGAUUUAUUAUGCAAACCGCCUCCAGCCAGGAACUCCAUCUAGAUUCAGUGGCAGUGGAUCUAACAGAUGA